CGGGUGAGUAACACGUGACUUAUCUACCCUCGAGUGGGGAAUAACUUCGGGAAACCGAGGCUAAUACCGCAUAAUACCCACGGGUCAAAGGAGCAAUUCGCUUGAGGAGGAGGUCGCGGCCGAUUAGUUAGUUGGCGGGGUAAUGGCCCCACCAAGACGGUGAUCGGUAUCCGGCCUGAGAGGGCGCACGGACACACUGGAACUGAAACACGGUCCAGACUCCUACGGGAGGCAGCAGUGGGGAAUUUUGCGCAAUGGGGGAAACCCUGACGCAGCAACGCCGCGUGGAGGAUGAAGUCUCUUGGGACGUAAACUCCUUUCGAUCGGGACGAUUAUGACGGUACCGGAAGAAGAAGCCCCGGCUAACUUCGUG
rnacentral:rRNA from 1 species